AGCCCAGGAUGAUGAUAUAACCUUAACAUUUCUUUAAAUCGCUCUCAGGCUUCAUAGAGUGAUUCCUCGUCCUUUUAGGUGAAACUCGUAAUUUGGUCCCUUACUUU